rnacentral:lncRNA from 1 species
UAUGUUUGGGGUGUUUGAUAGAUGGAAAUGGUUGUUGAGAUUGUUGUUAAUCAUAGUCAGAGUGAGUUGUUAAGUUUGUAUAGCGGGUGAUGAGAAAAAUGAAUUUAAUGAUUGAAUUGCUACGACAUUAGUGAUAGGGAGGAGAUUUAGCAGGUUUGAACCAUAUGUACGGGAGCUUAAGUCUAUUUGUUUGUGAUCAAGUGUGAUAUUGUGUGUUAAGGUAGUAGUAUGCUCAAGGUGUUAUGGGGAUUUUUUUUAAGUUAUUAAAUGUUAAACGGUUAGUGUUAUCCUUGAUCAGGUA